rnacentral:rRNA from 1 species
AUACGUAGGGGGCGAGCGUUGUCCGGAAUGAUUGGGCGUAAAGGGCGCGUAGGCGGCUUUGCAAGUCAGUAGUGGAAGUCCAUUUUUCAAGGAUGGAAGUGCUACAGAAACUGCGGAGCUUGAGUGCAGGAGAGGUUAUCGGAAUUCCCGGUGUAGCGGUGAAAUGCGUAGAGAUCGGGAGGAACACCAGUGGCGAAGGCGGGUAACUGGACUGCAACUGACGCUGAGGCGCGAAAGUGUGGGGAGCAAACAGGAUUAGAUACCCUGGUAGUCCACACUGUAAACGAUGAAUGCUAGGUGUAGGGGGUAUCGACUCCCUCUGUGCCGCAGUUAACACAAUAAGUAUUCCGCCUGGGGAGUACGGCCGCAAGGUUGAAACUCAAAUGAAUUGACGGGG